AGGCGGAGAUUUCGUAGUAGGAGACUUUUAGCGAGUAAAAGUGGCCUACCGAUUUGUUUAUACAAGAGUCAAGACAGCAUUGACAUUACAGGUUCGCAGAUGCAUCUCAUUGGGAAUCUGGAAUGGAGAGACUCUUGUAUUACUAGUAUCAUUUAAGUUGUUUUCGUAGGAACUUAUGUUUUCAGACAAUAGUUAAGUUGGUGUGUUUUUAGUUCUGACAUUGUUUGGUUCGAAAGUUUUAAUAAAGUUGUUUUAGAAGU